UACGUAGGGACCAAGCGUUGUUCGGAUUUACUGGCGUAAAGGGCGCGUAGGCGGCGUGACAAGUCACUUGUGAAAUCUCUGGGCUUAACCCAGAACGGCCAAGUGAAACUGUUGUGCUAGAGUGCAGAAGGGGCAAUCGGAAUUCUCGGUGUAGCGGUGAAAUGCGUAGAUAUCGAGAGGAACACCAGAGGUGAAGACGGGUUGCUGGGCUGACACUGACGCUGAGGCGCGAAAGCCAGGGGAGCAAACGGG
rnacentral:rRNA from 1 species